UGCAUCGCUAGAGUCUGUCAGAGAGGGGUGGAAUUCCACGUGUAGCAGUGAAAUGCGUAGAGAUGUGGAAGAACACCGAUGGCGAAGGCAGCCCCCUGGGAUGAGACUGACGCUCAUGUACGAAAGCGUGGAGAGCAAACAGGAUUAGAUACCCUGGUAGUCCACGCCCUAAACGAUGUCUACUAGUUGUCGGGGGGUAACUCCUUCGGUAACGCAGCUAACGCGUGAAGUAGACCGCCUGGGGAGUACGGUCGCAAGAUUAAAACUCAAAGGAAUUGACGGGGACCCGCACAAGCGGUGGAUGAUGUGGAUUAAUUCGAUGCAACGCGGAAAACCUUACCUACCCUUGACAUGCCACUAACGAAGCAGAGAUGCAUUAGGUGCCCGAAAGGGAAAGUGGACACAGGUGCUGCAUGGCUGUCGUCAGCUCGUGUCGUGAGAUGUUGGGUUAAGUCCCGCAACGAGCGCAACCCUUGCCGAUAGUUGCUACGAAAGGGCACUCUAUCGGGACUGCCGGUGACAAACCGGAGGAAGGUGGGGAUGACGUCAAGUCCUCAUGGCCCUUAUGGGUAGGGCUUCACACGUCAUACAAUGGUCGGUACAGAGGGCUGCCAACCCGCGAGGGGGAGCUAAUCCCACAAAACCGAUCGUAGUCCGGAUUGGAGUCUGCAACUCGACUCCAUGAAGUCGGAAUCGCUAGUAAUCGUGGAUCAGCAUGUCACGGUGAAUACGUUCCCGGGUCUUGUACACACCGCCC
rnacentral:rRNA from 1 species